rnacentral:rRNA from 1 species
UACGGGGGGUGCAAGCGUUACUCGGAAUCAUUGGGCGUAAAGGGCGCGUAGGCGGCCUGGUAAGUCAGAUGUGAAAGCCCGGGGCUCAACCCCGGAAGUGCAUUUGAUACUGCUGGGCUUGAGUAUGGGAGAGGGAAGUGGAAUUCCUGGUGUAGAGGUGAAAUGCGUAGAUAUCAGGAGGAACACCGGUGGCGAAGGCGACUUCCUGGACCAAUACUGACGCUGAGGCGCGAAGGCGUGGGGAGCAAACAGG